rnacentral:rRNA from 1 species
GAUGAACGCUGGCGGCGUGCCUAAUACAUGCAAGUCGAACGCAUAGCGAAAGGUGCUUGCACCUUUCAAGUGAGUGGCGAACGGGUGAGUAACACGUGGACAACCUGCCUCAAGGCUGGGGAUAACAUUUGGAAACAGAUGCUAAUACCGUAUAAAACUUAGUGUCGCAUGACACAAAGUUAAAAGGCGCUUCGGCGUCACCUAGAGAUGGAUCCGCGGUGCAUUAGUUAGUUGGUGGGGUAAAGGCCUACCAAGACAAUGAUGCAUAGCCGAGUUGAGAGACUGAUCGGCCACAUUGGGACUGAGACACGGCCCAAACUCCUACGGGAGGCUGCAGUAGGGAAUCUUCCACAAUGGGCGAAAGCCUGAUGGAGCAACGCCGCGUGUGUGAUGAAGGCUUUCGGGUCGUAAAGCACUGUUGUAUGGGAAGAACAGCUAGAAUAGGAAAUGAUUUUAGUUUGACGGUACCAUACCAGAAAGGGACGGCUAAAUACGUG